CGAACGGCAGGCGGGAAGUGCUCUAGCAGGGGAGUCUGACCUUGUGAGGGAAUACCUGUGUCCCCCCUUUUUUCCCCUUUUUACCCAAUAAAACCCUGCCUUACUCACCCUUUAAAUCAUCUGCGAGCCUGAAUUUUCAUGGCCGUGGGACGGACAAGAACUUUAUCUUCAGCUGAACUAAGAAAAAGUCCUGCAACAUUUUUGGCGCGCAAUGUGGGGGCACCAGAAGCGAUACAAGAUCUCACUCUGUUGACCCGAUUGGUCUUAAAAAACUCCUGGGUUCAAAAGACCUUCUCAUGUCAGCCUUUCAAAAUGCUGGGAUUACAGGCGUGGGCACCGUUGAGCUGUUGCAACUGUUCUGCUGGAGCCUUAUGUAUGUGGUUGAAACCACCUGUACUACUGGAAUGAAAGCACCUUUACAGAAGAGGCAAUGCAAGUUGUAUUCAUCACAUGUGUAGAAUGAAUUAAGAUUUAUGCCAGUUGCAAAGAAGAAUAUUGGCUCACUAUUUUUCCUCUGGGCAU
rnacentral:lncRNA from 10 species